GACGAACGCUGGCGGCGUGCUUAACACAUGCAAGUCGAACGCUGAAGCUCAGCUUUUGUUGGGUGGAUGAGUGGCGAACGGGUGAGUAACACGUGAGUAACCUGCCCCCUUCUUUGGGAUAACGCCCGGAAACGGGUGCUAAUACUGGAUGUUCACUGGUCUUCGCAUGGGGGUUGGUGGAAAGGGUUUUUCUGGUGGGGGAUGGGCCCGGGGCCUAUCAGCUUGUUGGUGGGGUGAUGGCCUACCAAGGCUUUGACGGGUAGCCGGCCUGAGAGGGUGACCGGUAACAUUGGGACUGAGAUACGGCCCAGACUACUACGGGAGGCAGCAGUGGGGAGGAUUGCGCAAUGGGCGCAAGCCUGAUGCAGCGACGCCGCGUGAGGGAUGGAGGCCUUCGGGUUGUGAACCUCUUUCGCUAAAGGUCAAGCCGCAACAAUGGUUGUGGUGAGGGUAGUGGGUGAAGAAGCGCCGGCUAACUACGUG
rnacentral:rRNA from 1 species